AACAGAGGGGGCGAGCGUUAUCUAUGUUAACUGGGCGUAAAGCGUGUGUAGGCGGAUAUUAUAAAGAAAGUUUUGAUUAAAAUGUUUGCGUAUUGACGCAAAUUAUAUCUUUCAAUAAUUAUCUAUGAGGUAUAAAAAAGGUUAAUAGAAGGCAAUAUGGAAAUGGGCAGUUGAUCCUAAAGAUAUUGAGUAAUAUCAAAAGCGAAGGCAAUUAUCCGGUUAUAACCUGACGCUAAAACACGAAGCUUGAGGCAGCAAAAGGG
rnacentral:rRNA from 1 species